rnacentral:rRNA from 1 species
GAUCAUGGCUCAGAGCGAACGCUGGCGGCAGGCUUAACACAUGCAAGUCGAACGGGCACCUUCGGGUGUCAGUGGCAGACGGGUGAGUAACACGUGGGAACGUACCCUUCGGUUCGGAAUAACUCAGGGAAACUUGAGCUAAUACCGGAUACGCCCUUUUGGGGAAAGGUUUACUGCCGAAGGAUCGGCCCGCGUCUGAUUAGCUUGUUGGUGGGGUAACGGCCUACCAAGGCGACGAUCAGUAGCUGGUCUGAGAGG